GUCCAGGGGUGGGAAUCGAACCCACAUUGUUCCGCUUACCGGGCAGAUGCCAUGUCCACUAGGCUACCCUGGA
rnacentral:tRNA from 1 species